CCCACCAGACGGCCGGCGUCAGCCUGCCAUCACCAUCGGCGUGGAGGGCACGUCUGGCAGGGCGGACAUCGGGGGAAAGGGGGAGGUAAGGGAAGAAAAAUAUUGCUAUUUCAGGCAGCUCGGAAUUGAUCAAGGACUUCGCCGAAUUCCGGGACAUGGAGCACCAUUAUACGGUGACCCAUAUGCAGCUGGACCGCCGCUCCGCCUCUCCCCAUCCUCAGCGACCGGCAUCAGGAGUGCGUCUGAGGCUCGAAUGGAAGAUGGAAAUGUGGGCGGAGCCACGACACCAUGGCAGCUGGCCCUGAGGUUACAUUUUCGUGGGAAGGGGUGGGAGCUUAUGAGUUCCCACCUAUCAGAGCAAGGGAAAUUCGAAAUAGGAGGAGCACCAUCGAAGACAAAAUAUCACCAUGACUACGGCCCGCCGGAGGGCACGCUGCAAAAGUUGGACGAUUCAGAGCUCAAAUCCAGGGUCAAACUGAUGGAAACAUGAACCUUUUUGGCAAGGAAUACAACCAAUAUCGGAAGAAGAGGGGCGGAGCGAAGUUGAGGAUUCAGAAGAUGGCCCGAGGAGGCGGCGAGAGGGACAGAAAAAGGGCAGAAAAGAGAGAGGAGGACUCACGAGAAGGACGGACAGAGACAGUGGAGGACAGUCCAGUCGGUGGUGACGCAAGAGGUGGACGGGUCGGCGCCGUCUGGCGCCUGCCCUCAUCUCUAUCUCUUCGGUCAUGGCCAGCUUCCCGCCGCCGGCUCGACGACCCAGAGGGCUGACGCCAGUAAACAAGUAAGUCACUGCACGGGAGCCAAGACCUGCUCGCCGGUUACAUUCGCAGUCUGCGCCGGUACCACGCCUCGUCUGCUCGUCUCAAUCUCUCGUCAUUCAACGGUCAGCUCAGCGCCACCCAGCCAGCCAUUGUAUCAGAUUUGGCACCCAGCACCAAAAGCUUCGCCUUUGGCUGCCUAACAUUACCAGCCUACCGCUGGAGCGUCAAACAACGGAGGACCUGUUCAGGGCCCUCAGCGGUCCAAUGCUGGACUGAAAGAACGACGGCUGGAUUCUGACCUUCUGACACAAAAACGCUACGGGGACCUGCGCACGUCCACGUGGAGAGCUCAGGUCCGGUCCAUCGCCGACUUCCUGGACUAUGCAUUCAUUCUCGGACGCCGUGGCUCUCGGCGUGGACGCGAGGCGCUGGUCGCCUAUGCUGGGCACCAUGAAGGAACGUCUCGGUGGCUGGCGCCGAGCACUGAAAACAACCGAGCGAGACGCAGAGCAACACUACAGGGGCCAGGCGGAACGCAUUUUAAGCCUUGAGGCGCAGGAGCGCUUUCUGAGGCCGGACCUGGCAAAGGCGAUGGAGGUGAUCCCCGGGCCGGGAGAUCUCCCGACGCUACACACGGCCAGGACCGCCAGAAACCGUCUGAUGACCAUUCUGCUGAUGACGGGACGCAGAACUCGGCAAAAGCCACAAGCUGAUCAGAAACUGGACUUUCAAGACGGCCAGACAACACCGCCACGAAGCGCCAUGCCUCCUGAAGGCCUGGCACCGGCUGCGCUAUUACCGCGACCAGGAGAGGCCUCUCCUGCUGGCGGUCGGCAGUGGCGCCCCUUCUGAGGACAGCGGCCGACUGUUCAUCAAUCAGGGAGGCUCAGCCAUUGACUCGAGCAAUGCGGCUAAGAUCUUAAGAACGGUGUGGCUGGAGGCCAUGGGGGAAAAUGCCGACGUGCCAGCCCUGACGUCUCGCGGCAUCCGCUACGGAACUGUGAUCGGCCUUGCGCCGACGUCAGAGAACCAGGAGUAUGUACGUAGCGGCGUCGAUGGCGCACUCCCGAGACACCCAACUAUACGUGUACGAUGUGCACGGCGGGGUCGGCGUGUCUGCGAGGGCACGACGCCAUCAUAAGAAAGCGGCAGCGGCUCGUCGCUGGAGACAGCAGCGGCAGCAGCAGUGACUCCGAGUUCCGAAUGGGAGCAGCCCGAACACGCCACCACCGCCGAUUCCUCCGCUGCCGCUGAUUCUUCCACUGCGUCUCAAACCGCGUCGGUCCCUCUACCGAAGGUGAAGACGAUGCUGCUGCCGCCACCACUCCGGACGCCGCAGCCACUCCAUCAGCUGGUGGCGUCACCGCCACCGCCGGUACAUCAGCCGGUGGUCUGCUGCCGCCGCCUCUGCGCCACGUGGACGGCGACAGGGCCCAAGUGGUGGCACAAGACAGGAAGGAACGAUUUGGUCAUCAGCAGAGUCGCAAGCCCUAGCGUCUGCAUGCCGAGAAUUCAUAACCGGCGAAAAGCGGCGCUACGACGCUCGUGACAUCUCAAAAGAUGUCAGUGCAGUGCUGGGCCGCUUCACACCUCAGCAAAUCCACGACAAGGCGAAGUAUAUGCGCCGACGCUAUGUAAAAUAAGUGCGACACAAAAGUCCGUGACCAGAUCUUAUACCUGAUCUAUACAUUGAAGGCACUAGGAUUACCCGUUGCGCCGGACGCGGCUGGCCGCUGGCUUCUUUGCUUGAGGACCUUCAGUCGGUGGCCGCGGGUGCGUACUGCGUAUACUCGGGGCGGGCGGGAAGUCGUCCUUGUCCAGGCGGAAGCGUCCAAUUUUAUGUUAAAUCUUAUGAACUCUUAUGUUAAAAUAUGCCUUUUCUUUGCGUCUAAGUUUGUUAUGUUGUCCUUGAUCGUUGUAUAUGUUACAGGGAGUAUGCGAUUUCAGUUAGUUUGCAACGACCCUAGGGUGAAUGUAACCUCCCUGAACGAUCAGUUUGUUUGCAACGACCCUAGGGACGUUACAAAA
rnacentral:lncRNA from 1 species